GGUUGUGUAAGUGGUUUGAGCAUUGGACUAUGAUUCUGAAGAUCAGGGUUUGAUUCCCUGCUGAGCCA